rnacentral:sRNA from 1 species
UUGACGACAGUCAGUGUGCAGCCGGGC